rnacentral:rRNA from 1 species
GAGAAUAAUUCACAAUGGGGGCAACCCUGAUGGUGCAACGCCGCGUGGAGGAUGACGGUCUUCGGAUUGUAAACUCCUGUCAUCUGGGAGUAAGACCUGGCUGUUAAUAGCCGACAGGGUUGAUAGUACCGGAAGAGGAAGGGACGGCUAACUUCGUGCCAGCAGCCGCGGUAAUACGAAGGUCCCGAGCGUAGGUUCGGAAUCACUGGGCGUAAAGGGAGCGUAGGCGGCGCGGUAAGUCAGAUGUGAAAAUCCCGGGGCUCAACCCCCGGAACUGCAUCCGAUACUGCCGUGCUAGAGGAUUGGAGAGGUAGCUUGGAAUUCUUGGUGUAGCAGUGAAAUGCGUGGAUAUCAAGAGGAACACUCGUGUGCGAAAGCGAGCUACUGGACAACUCCUGACGCUGAGGCUCGAAGGCUAGGGUAGCGAAAGGGAUUAGAUACCCCUGUAGUCCUGGCAGUAAACGGUGCACGCUUGGUGUGAGGGGAAUCGACCCCCCUUGUGCCGGAGCUAACGCGUUAAGCGUGCCGCCUGGGAAGUACGGUCGCAAGACUAAAACUCAAAGAAAUUGACGGGGACCCGCACAAGCGGUGGAGUAUGUGGCUUAAUUCGAUGCAACGCGAAGAACCUUACCAAGGCUUGACAUGGAUUUCUAAGCACGUGAAAGCGUGUGACCCUUCGGGGAACUUCCACAGGUGCUGCUUGGCUGUCGUCAGCUCGGUGUCGUGAGAUGUUGGGUUAAGUCCCGCAACGAACGCAACCCUUGUGAUUAGUUGCCAGCACGUUAUGGGUGGGAACUCUAAUCAGACUGCCCAGAUCAACUGGGAGGAAGGUGGGGACGACGUCAGGUCAGUAUGGCCCUUACGCCUUGGGCUGCACACGUACUACAAUGCCCAGCACAAUGAGAACCGAUACCGCGAGGUGGAGGAAAUCUAUAAAACUGGGCCCAGUUCGGAUUGGAGGCUGCAACUUCGCCUCCAUGAAGUUGGAAUCGCUAGUAAUAACACAUCAUCUACGGUGCCGUGAAUACGUUCCCGGGCCUUGUACACACCGC